rnacentral:rRNA from 1 species
ACUCCUACGGGAGGGCAGCAGUAGGAAUUUUCCGCAAUGGACGAAAGUCUGACGGAGCAAUGCCGCGUGAGUGAUGAAGGUUUUCGAAUCGUAAAGCUUCUGUUGUAAGGGAAGAAUAGCAGUAGUAGGAAAUGACUACUGUGUUGACGGUACCUUACCAGAAAGCCACGGCUAACUACGUGCCAGCAGCCGCGGUAAUACG